GACGAACGCUGGCGGCGUGCCUAACACAUGCAAGUCGAACGAAGCUUGACGAAUGAUUUCUUCGGAAUGAAAUCUGAUAUGACUGAGUGGCGGACGGGUGAGUAACGCGUGAGCAACCUGCCCUUCGGAACGGGAUAGUGUCUGGAAACGGACAGUAAUACCGUAUAACGUAUUUUUACCGCAUGAUAGAAAUACCAAAACUGAGGUGCCGAAGGAUGGGCUCGCGUCUGAUUAGAUAGUUGGUGGGGUAACGGCCUACCAAGUCGACGAUCAGUAGCCGGACUGAGAGGUUGAACGGCCACAUUGGGACUGAGACACGGCCCAGACUCCUACGGGAGGCAGCAGUGGGGAAUAUUGCACAAUGGGGGAAACCCUGAUGCAGCAACGCCGCGUGAAGGAAGACGGUUUUCGGAUUGUAAACUUCUAUCAGCAGGGAAGACAAUGACGGUACCUGACUAAGAAGC
rnacentral:rRNA from 1 species